rnacentral:rRNA from 1 species
CCUACGGGUGGCAGCAGUGGGGAAUAUUGCACAAUGGGGGAAACCCUGAUUCAGCGACGCCGCGUGAGUGAUGAAGUAUUUCGGUAUGUAAAGCUCCAUUAGCAGGGAUGAAAAUGACGGUACCUGAUUAACAAGCCCCGGCUAACUACGAGCCAGCAGCCGCGGUAAGAAGGAGGGGGCCAGCGUUAUCCGGAUUUACUGGGGGUAAAGGGAACGUAGACGGCAGCACAAGUCUGGUGUGAAAUGCCGGGGCUUAACCCCGGAACUGCUGUGGAAACUGUGCAGCUUGAGUGCGGGAGAGGUACGUGGAAUUCCUAGUGUAGCGGUGAAAUGCAUAGAUAUUAAGAAGAACACCAGUUGCGAAGGCGGCUUACUGGACUGUAACUGACGUUGAUGCUCGAAAGCGUGGGUAGCGAACAGGAUUAGAUACCCCUGUAGUC